rnacentral:rRNA from 1 species
AUUGAACGCUGGCGGCAUGCCUUACACAUGCAAGUCGAACGGCAGCACGGGGCAACCUGGUGGCGAGUGGCGAACGGGUGAGUAAUGCAUCGGAACGUACCUUUCAGUGGGGGAUAACGUAGCGAAAGUUACGCUAAUACCGCAUAUUCUGUGAGCAGGAAAGCAGGGGAUCGCAAGACCUUGCGCUGAUUGAGCGGCCGAUGUCAGAUUAGGUAGUUGGUGAGGUAAAGGCUCACCAAGGCGACGAUCUGUAGCGGGUCUGAGAGGAUGAUCCGCCACACUGGAACUGAGACACGGUCCAGACUCGUACGGGAGGCAGCAGUGGGGAAUUUUGGACAAUGGGGGCAACCCUGAUCCAGCCAUGCCGCGUGAGUGAAGAAGGCCUUCGGGUUGUAAAGCUCUUUCGGCCGGGAAGAAAUCGCACGGGCUAAUACCCUGUGUGGAUGACGGUACCGGAAUAAGAAGCACCGGCUAACUACGUGCCAGCAGCCGCCGUAACAC